rnacentral:lncRNA from 1 species
UGAAAACGAUUUUUAGAAAUAAAUUUGGAUUUAAAAAUAAGUAAGAAAAAAAAAUUUAAUUAAAAGAUGACUAAGUUGUAAAAGGGUCAAACUUGAAAGUUUCCCAAAAGCAAUUAAUCCAAGUUUUAGAAAUUAAUUAUUUUUCAUGCAAUUAUAAAACCCAUUCAUGUUUCUUCCCUCCUUCAUUUUCUUAUUUGAAUUUUUGCCAAAUACAAAAUUAUAAAUCUCUCUUUA